CGCGGCCUAUCAGCUUGUUGGUGAGGUAACGGCCCACCAAGGCGACGACGGGUAGCCGGCCUGAGAGGGUGACCGGCCACACUGGGACUGAGACACGGCCCAGACUCCUACGGGAGGCAGCAGUGGGGAAUAUUGCACAAUGGGCGCAAGCCUGACGCAGCAACGCCGCGUGGGGGAUGAAUGCCUUCGGGUUGUAAACCCCUUUCAGCAGGGACGAAAAUGACGGUACCUGCAGAAGAAGCUCCGGCCAACUACGUGCCAGCAGCCGCGGUAAUACGUAGGGAGCGAGCGUUGUCCGGAAUUAUUGGGCGUAAAGAGCUCGUAGGCGGUUCAGUAAGUCGGGUGUGAAAACUCAAGGCUCAACCUUGAGACGCCACUCGAUACUGCUGUGACUUGAGUCCGGUAGAGGAGUGUGGAAUUCCUGGUGUAGCGGUGAAAUGCGCAGAUAUCAGGAGGAACACCAGCGGCGAAGGCGGCACUCUGGGCCGGUACUGACGCUGAGGAGCGAAAGCAUGGGGAGCAAACAGGAUUAGAUACCCUGGUAGUCCAUGCCGUAAACGUUGGGCACUAGGUAUGGGAUCAUAUCAACGGAUUCCGUGCCGUAGCUAACGCAUUAAGUGCCCCGCCUGGGGAGUACGG
rnacentral:rRNA from 1 species